rnacentral:rRNA from 1 species
CCAGACUCCUACGGGAGGCAGCAGUGAGGAAUAUUGGUCAAUGGGCGGGAGCCUGAACCAGCCAAGUCGCGUGAGGGAAGACGGUCCUAUGGAUUGUAAACCUCUUUUGUCGGGGAGCAAAGAGGCCUCGUGAGGUCAAAAGCGAGAGUACCCGAAGAAAAAGCAUCGGCUAACUCCGUGCCAGCAGCCGCGGUAAUACGGAGGAUGCGAGCGCUAUCCGGAUUUAUUGGGUUUAAAGGGUGCGCAGGCGGAGGUGCAAGUCAGCGGUCAAAUUGCGGGGCUCAACCCCGUACUGCCGUUGAAACUGCAUCCCUUGAGUGCGCGAAAGGCAGGCGGAAUUCGUGGUGUAGCGGUGAAAUGCUUAGAUAUCACGAAGAACCCCGAUUGCGAAGGCAGCCUGCCGCAGCGUUACUGACGCUGAAGCUCGAAAGCGCGGGUAUCGAACAGGAUUAGAUACCCUAGUAG